GACGAACGCUGGCGGCGUGCCUAAUACAUGCAAGUAGAACGCUGAAGGAGGAGCUUGCUUCUCUGGAUGAGUUGCGAACGGGUGAGUAACGCGUAGGUAACCUGCCUGGUAGCGGGGGAUAACUAUUGGAAACGAUAGCUAAUACCGCAUAAUAGUAGAUGUUGCAUGACAUUUGCUUAAAAGGUGCAAUUGCAUCACUACCAGAUGGACCUGCGUUGUAUUAGCUAGUUGGUGGGGUAACGGCUCACCAAGGCGACGAUACAUAGCCGACCUGAGAGGGGGAUCGGCCAAACUGGGACUGAGACACGGCCCAGACUCCUACGGGAGGCAGCAGUAGGGAAUCUUCGGCAAUGGACGGAAGUCUGACCGAGCAACGCCGCGUGAGUGAAGAAGGUUUUCGGAUCGUAAAGCUCUGUUGUAAGAGAAGAACGAGUGUGAGAGUGGAAAGUUCACACUGUGACGGUAUCUUACCAGAAAGGGACGGCUAACUACGUG
rnacentral:rRNA from 1 species